CCUACGGGCGGCAGCAGUGAGGAAUAUUGGUCAAUGGGCGCGAGCCUGAACCAGCCAAGUAGCGUGCAGGAUGACUGCCCUACGGGUUGUAAACUUCUUUUAUAAAGGAAUAAAUUGAGGCACGUGUGCCUUUUUGUAUGUACUUUAUGUAUACGGAUCGGCUUACUCCGUGCUAGCAGCCGCGGUAAUAUGUAGGGGGCAAGCGUUAUCCGGAUUUACUUGGUGUAAAGGGAGCGGAGACGGAAAGGUAAGGCAGAUGGGAAACCCCAAGGCUCAAACAUGGGACUGCGUUUGAUACUGGCAAACUAGAGUACGUGAGAGGUAAGAGGAAUUCCUAGUGAAGCGGUGAAAUGCGUAGAUAUUAGGAGGAACACCAGUGGCGAAGGCGUCUUACUGGACCGAAACUGACGUUGAGGCUCGAAAGCGUGGGGAGCAAACAGGAUUAGAUACCCGGGUAGUC
rnacentral:rRNA from 1 species